rnacentral:rRNA from 1 species
UACGUAGGGGGCUAGCGUUGUCCGGAUUUAUUGGGCGUAAAGAGCGUGUAGGCGGCCAGAUAGGUCUGCUGUGAAAACUCGAGGCUCAACCUCGAGCUGUCGGCGGAAACCAUCCGGCUAGAGUCCGGAAGAGGAGAGUGGAAUUCCCGGUGUAGCGGUGAAAUGCGCAGAUAUCGGGAAGAACACCUGUGGCGAAGGCGGCUCUCUGGGACGGUACUGACGCUGAGACGCGAAAGCUAGGGGAGCGAACGGG